rnacentral:rRNA from 1 species
UGGGUAACCUGCCUCAAAGAGGGGAAUAGCCUCCCGAAAGGGAGAUUAAUACCGCAUAAUAUGUUUAAGUCGCAUGACUUUAACAUCAAAGGAUUUUCUUUUAGAACUUCCACUUUGAGAUGGACCCCGCGGCGCAUAGCUAGUUGGUGAGGUAACGGCUCACCAAGGCAACGAUGCGUAGCCGACCUGAGAGGGUGAUCGGCCACAUUGGAACUGAGACACGGUCCAGACUCCGUAGGAGG